UCUCUGGUGGUCAAGUGGCUAAGACUCUGAGCUCCUAAUGCAGGGGACCUGGGGUUCGAUCCCUGGUCAGGGAA
rnacentral:tRNA from 1 species